rnacentral:rRNA from 1 species
GACGAACGCUGGCGGCGUGCUUAACACAUGCAAGUCGAACGAUGAACCCGGAGCUUGCUCCGGUGGAUUAGUGGCGAACGGGUGAGUAACACGUGAGUAACCUGCCCUUGACUCUGGGAUAACUGCGGGAAACUGUAGCUAAUACCGGAUACGACCCUCGGCGGCAUCGCCAGGGGGUGGAAAGAAUUUCGGUCAAGGAUGGACUCGCGGCCUACAAGCUAGUUGGUGGGGUAACAGCUCACCAAGGCGACGACGGGUAGCCGGCCUGAGAGGGUGACCGGCCACACUGGGACUGAGACACGGCCCAGACUCCUACGGGAGGCAGCAGUGGGGAAUAUUGCACAAUGGGCGCAAGCCUGAUGCAGCAACGCCGCGUGAGGGAUGACGGCCUUCGGGUUGUAAACCUCUUUUAGUAGGGAAGAAGCGAAAGUGACGGUACCUGCAGAAAAAGCACCGGCUAACUACGUGCCAGCCGCCGCCGUAA